rnacentral:rRNA from 1 species
AGGACGAACGCUGGCGGCGUGCUUAACACAUGCAAGUCGAGCGGUAAGGCUCCUUCGGGAGUACACGAGCGGCGAACGGGUGAGUAACACGUGAGCAAUCUGCCCUUCACAUUGGAAUAACUUCGGGAAACCGAAGCUAAUACCGAAUACGACCACCGAUGGCAUCAUCUGGUGGUGGAAAGUUCCGGCGGUGAAGGAUGAGCUCGCGGCCUAUCAGCUUGUUAGUGGGGUCAUGGCCCACCAAGGCGACGACGGGUAGCCGGCCUGAGAGGGUGACCGGGCCACGACUGGGACUGAGACACGGCCCAGACUCCUACGGGAGGCAGCAGUGGGGGAAUAUUGGACAAUGGGCGAAAGCCUGAUCCAGCAACGCCGCGUGAGGGAUGACGGCCUUCGGGUUGUAACCUCUUUCACCCACGACGAAGCGAAAGUGACGGUAGUGGGAGAAGAAGCACCGGCCAACUACGUGCCAGCAGCCGC